UGACUGCAUGUGGGUCGUGGCUACUGCAUGGGACCACACAGGAGAAUUCACAUGCGGGAUUCUGCCUCCGUCUCCCUGGCCCAGACUCAAGUCACGUGCUGCGCCUGAGUGUGAGAGCGCCCGGCUGUUGUCUCCACGGGGACAGCAGGCGCCAGAUCUGCAAGCAGCCAGGAGGCUGCUGCUGGAAAGGGACGCCGGGCCCGGGGGUGGUCAGCAGUGGGGCCACGGCCGCGUGUUUCUGCCCACAUUUCUAUCUAUUUGUGUCUCCUCCUGGUCUCUCCAGGUGGCACACUUGUCGGUUUGUCACAUCGUACUGUUCUAAUUUCUGCAUCGUUAUAAUGUGUCUUAACUUCUGGUAGAGCCGCUUCUUCCCUUGUUUGCAUUCCUAGUUUUCAGAAUGUUUAAACUCAUAUUUUCAGAGUUUUCUUGGGUUUUCUCAUUUAUUUAGUUUUUCCACGACGAGCUAAGCAUCAGUGUCUCGUUCAGAAGGGAAACCUGUUGCUUUCACGUGGCUCCACAUUUUAUUUAGAACAGGGUUGGCGAGAACCGACUCCUCCGUGUCAGAGCUUCUGUCCCGCCCUGGGGCCUGGUGGCCUUUACUCAAGUCCGCGUCGGCCUCUGGCGCGGUUUUAGUUUCUCCGCACAGCCCUGUGUGGUCUUGCUCCUUUGCGCAUGUGCUUGUUGCUGUCACCUUUGUAAAGAGAACGCUCUUCCUUAUUUGUUCCCCCUCAAGCUGGUUUUUAUUUAUAUGUAGAAAGGAGGCUCCCUCAGCGCGUGGAUUGUCACCAGCCACCUUACGUGUUACAGUGGCUCUUCCACGACGUUGCAUUUCCUGGGCACGCGUGGCACCAGCUUCCCGCAGUGAUGGCUGUGUGUGCUUCUCUUCACUGUUGUCCUCUCUGUGUUCUUCUCUCACCGUAAAGCAACGUUUAGUAAUAGCAGAGAAUAAGGAGAAUGUUUCUGGUGUUUAACUAUCAAGCUUGAUACUUAUUUUUGGUUUAAGAUACGCUUUUUAUCUUAAGAAAAUAUCCACUUACUAACUGUUCUUAAAAUUUAAUCAGGAAUUGAUCUGAAUUUUUAAAAAUGCCAUUUUAGCUCCUCUGCAAAUAAUUAUGUGGUUUUUCUUCUUUGACUUAUUAAUGUGGUGAAUUAUGUGAAUAGAUGUCCUAAUUUGAAGUAUUCUUGCAUUCCUUAGGGAUAAAUCCUGCUUGGCCAUGGUUCAUUAUUAUUUCAAUCAGCUUUAGAAUUAAAUUUGCUAAUAUUUUACUGAGGCUGUUUGCCACAAGUUUCAUCUACAAGAUUGCUCGUUUUGUGCUAUUUUUUUCAGUCAGUCCUUUUGUGCACAGGUCUCACCGUGCACGGUGACGUGCCCCCGCGGGAUGUCGACUUCUGCAGGGGCCAGGCCCUGGUGCCUGCUGGGACAUCGUCCUCUCACCAGCCUCGUGUGCACUGGGUGGCUUUUCACUGGUUGGAACUCUUGGUUUUACGCUUUCAAAGCUGUGUGUUUUUCUUUUGGCGAACAGAGAGCGGGACGCACUGCUGGGGGUUGGAUGCUCCGUCUAGACGGAAGCUCUGCGGCGCCUUCCUUCACGGCCUGCCUCUCCUCUGCUCCUCCUUCUGUGAGAUGGAGACGUCAUCGCCUCCUCAUGAGGCUGUGGGAUUAAAUGUAUUACUCAUAUGCAGACUUCUAAGAACGGCGCCAGGCACACAGUAAACACUAUUAUGAGUGUUUGCUAUUGUUAGGGUUAAUGCUGUUAUUCAUUAGCGCCAGAGAAUGCCAGGUUUAACUGGAGGAAGCCGUUCCUGGCUCGAUGCCUCCCAACGUCAGAGCUGGAGCUGGAGCUUGUGGGAAGGAGGCCCCGCUGGAGACAGGAGCUCGGAGACCUGGCCUGGGGGUGGGAAAGUCUCAGGGGCCACUGUGCUGGCCUGCAGGCUCAGAACCAUGCUCGCUUUUUUUUUUUUUUUUUGAGGAAGAUUAGCCCUGAGCUAACUACUGCCAAUCCUCCUCUUUUUGCUGAGGAAGACUGGCCCUGAGCUAACAUCUGUGCCCAUCUUCCUCUACUUUAUACGUGGGUCGCCUACCACAGCAUGGCUUUUGCCAAGUGGUGCCAUGUCCUCACCCGGGAUCCGAACUGGUGAACUCUGGGCCACUGAGAAGUGGAACCGUGUGCACUUAACUGCUGUGCCACCAGGCCGGCCUGGAGCCGUGCUCUCUUGCUGGCUGAAGCCCUCUCUCUUGUCCGCCGCCAGGGGCUGUCAUCUGCCUUGCUAGCCUGGGUGCAAGUGCAGAUGGAGUCUCGGAGCCUCGAGCAUGAAGGGAUGUCCCAACCAAUAAACUGCUGCCCCUCCAAGAGUCGAGGUGCAGGCCACAGACGUCCCCCAGAAUCGCCCCUGCACAGCCACACGAGGGAAGGUCAAAUCUGUCCAGAGGGAAGCCUCCUCCCCAUCACAGGACACUCGGCAGGAGUUGAAGCGGGUGGUGAGAGCUUGGUCACAGAGCACCUGGCUUGGAACCCUGGCCACGUGGCCCAUGUUCGACUCUGCCUUACAGACUCAUAUGGUCACCCGGUGGAUGGAUAAGGUGAGUAGAUGUCUGGAGUCUGGGGGACGUGAUGUGUGUGCCCAACGAGGGAGGGUCCUCCCAUCUGAGUGGCCUGUAGAGACGGUUCCUGAAAAAGGAGUGGGUGAGACGUUCACAGAGGGGCCUGAGGGACAGAGACAGGACAGGGAGCAGACACCACCCUAUUCGCUCCUGGAGCCAAUGAUGAUAGGAAUGUGGAGGCAAGAAAUGACCCAAGGGGUCAGUGGAAUCUCACCACGAGUGAAGUGGGUGUCAGGCCAGAUGAGUGCGGCCAACGCCAGGCCGGGGUUCAGGUGGAGGGCGGGGCAUGGGGCUGAGGCCCGAGGAUCCUGAGUGGAUCCGCGAGGAAAGGCAAACUAGUAAGAAAAGAGCAAAAGACACAGUCCUUGGCUAUUGUUGUAUAUAAUAGCUCAAAUGAAAGUAAGAGAUGGGCCAAGCUCCUCUGUGACCAGUGGGAACCACAGCCUCCCGUCUCACAGCCCCACUGAAGGAUGUGUUGGGGAUCCCGAUUCUGGCCCGACCAAAAUGGCAGCCUCGGGUCUCAGAGCCAUUUCCAAAGGAAAACGGUGUGUCAGAGCAGCAGAGGACCACGAAGCCUGGACUGCGGGCCCAAGUAAUGGGGACAGAUGGAGGGCAGCAUCCUGGGACUUGUGCCAGCGGAGUGGGAAUCCUAACUAGUUACUAAGAAAUGGGGCAAUAAUUGAGCAUCAGAACAAAGGUCCUUGUGCAGCACUCCCAGAGGCUGAGGGGACCAAGGGCAUCCCUCCUGCCCCUCGACAUCUGAGGCCCGCAGCCCCUCUGCUGGUGUCACUCUAGCUUGGGGGAAUUUGGAAAGGUUUGAGCCAAAGUUGGCAACAGGACUUGCCCUGCAUUCGCCGGGGUGAUGGUCCCACAAUCAAAUCAAGAGAAAGAUUGACAGCGGGGGCCAGUGUCCCUUGGCUGGUCCCUGCUGGGGACACAAAGCUGUGUGCAUGUGAGUAUGAAAUGUCAGAGGUGGGGGCCGACCCGUGGCCAAGUGCUUAAGUCCAUGUGCUCUUCUUGGGCGGCCCAGGGUUUUGCCAAGCUCUGAUCCUGGGCACGGACAUAGCACCACUCAUCAUCAGGCCAUGCUGGGGUGGCGUCCCACGUAGCAGAACCAGAAGGACCUACAACUAGAAUAUACAACCGUGUACUGGGGGGCUUUGGGGAAAAAGAAAAUAAAAGAGGAAGGUUGGCCACGGCUGUUAGCUCAGGGCCCAUCUCUUAAAAAAAAAAAAUAAAUGUCAGGAGUGGAGAGUUUCUGGGACUCUGAGACACGGAGCCCUGUGACCUGUGGAACCAAACCUACUGGUGGGGUCCCAGCAGAGGCCACCAUCACACGGAGAGGCCACAGGAACGCACGGGUCCUAAGGCGGAAGUCUGGAUGAAAACUGGAACGUUUCACCAGGCUUUCUGUGAAGAAGUUGCGUCUCCCUCUCUGACUGUUUUCUGGGAUGUUGUCUGUCUGGGGACACUGCCCCUGCCUGUUAUUGUAAAACCAAAGCCUGAGGGUGAAGCCCUGAAGGGUGGGCCACAGGGGCCGCUGGGGGAAGGUGGAAGUUUGGACAAACCCGGCGUGUCUGCACGGGCUGCGUGUGGAGUGGCUGGGUCGCUUUGGCUCGGUUGUGUGGUGGCCGGAUAUUUCCUCUCCUGAGCUUCGUGAAGCGGAAGGCAGCGGCAUCUGUCCUUCAGGCCACAUUGAUUGGACACGUCGAUGGGAACCGGGAAGACUGCCGGAGCCCUCGGAGCUGGAGCGUUGGUGUGGACGAAUUCUGCACAGCCACAGCCUGUGUGGGGCUGAGCCGGGGCUUACGACAGAAGCCUGAGCGCCACCCAGCGACAUCCAGUGGGACUUGGACUGAAGGCUUCCAUGGGAGGGGCAACGACCAGCUUGCUAUCUGACGUUAACUGAAACGGCCCUUAUGACCGAAGGACGACAUAAAAUCAUCCUGAAAUCUGACGCAGCCGCGACGUCUUGGGUCAUGUCAGAGAAACGCUCCGGUAGAGGUCAGUGCCCAGGAGAGCUCCACACUAGAGCGGAAAGGGUGUGUAGAGGAUGGCGCCCCGGUGGGCGGGUGGGGGAUGCAGAGAGAUACUUGGCACCUUCAGAAGCAGGUCGGGAAGCUCCCAGACUCGGAAAGUGGGGUGGUGGCUGCCAAGGCUGGGGAAGGAGAAACGGGGAGUUGUUGCUUCACGGGUGUGAAAAGGUUCUGGAGAGCUGUUUCAUGACAUAAACACAAGUAUACUUACUACUGAAAUGUUCACACAAAGUGGUGAAGAUGGUAAAUUUUGUGUUUGGAGUAUUUUACCACAAUUAAAAGAGCAAAAGAUCUGUAUAGACAUUUCUCCAAGGAAGAUACCCAAACGGUCAAGAAGCACACGAAAAGAUGCUCAACGUGGUUAGUCAUCAGGGAAAUGCAGAUCAGAACCACAGCGAGAGCCCUUCCCAGCCCCUGGGCGCGGUAUAGAGAGGGCUGACAGCAAGCGAUGGGAGGGGGCCCGAGCCUUCACACUGCUGCUGGAGCGUAAGAUGGGGCAGCCGCCUUGUAAAGCCGGCUCAGAGUGUCUGUAGAAAGUUAGUGCAGACGCACCACGUGGUCCAGCAAUUCCACUUACAUAUACGCCCAGGAGAACUGAAAACAUACGUCUAUGGAAAAACUUGUGCACGAAUGUUCAUGGCAGGAUUAUUCGUAAGAACCAGACAGUGGAAACAGCCCAGGUGCCCAUCAGCCAGUGAACGGAUAAGCAGAAUGCGGUCUACACGUACCUUAGAAUAUUAUUCCACUAUGAAACGGGUGGAAAUUCAAGGUGGAUGAACCUCAGCAAAAGGAGCUGGUCCCACAAGACCAUGUAUUGUAUGAUUCGGUUUAUAUGAAAAUGUUUAGAACGGGACCUCUGCAGAGGCGGAGAUAAAGUGGGUUGUUAGGACUUGGGGGCGGGGGAAAGACUAUGGGAAACGGGGAGUGAGUGCCCGCGGAUGCAAGCUUUCUUCUUGGGGUGACAAAUGGUCUAAAAUUAGAUUGUGGGGCUCUGAGAAUACACUAAAAACCAAUGAUUCGGACACUGGAAUGGGUGAAUCAUAUGGUAUGUGAAUUAUAUCUCAAUAAAGCUGCUAAAAAAUAAAACCAAACUAAAAAACACCCCAGAGACAUCAUUACCAUACAUCUGCUCUGCUGGAGAUGGAGGGGAUGAGACCGCUGAGCUCUCCAUCUGCAAGACUGACGGCCCACGGGAGGCGGCGUCACCCAGGAAGAAGCAAGGGAGGCCGCCGGGGCUGCUGUGUUGAAUGUCAUAGAGGAAGGGCUCGGGUGUGAGGUGGAGGUCUGGGCGGUGGCUUCCUUACACAGUUAUUCCGGGCGGGGUCCCCAGAAGAGCAGUUUUCAGCUGAUCAGAAUGGGGACAGGAGCCAGCCUGGCAGGAGUGUUUUCUGGGCUUCCAGGAGUUCCCGAAAGGCUGCGUGAGCUGCUCCGUGUUCUGGAAACAGGGGUGGGGGAUCCUGGAGGGCCGGUGGUCUGACUCAGAUGACUAUCAAGGCCGUCCUGAGGACAAGACCCUGGGGACAGAGAUCUAUCUCAUUGUCAUGCUGAUGCGGUAUACAUUGUUUAUAAUCAUUCCUUCUUGAUAAUUCCUUAAUUGAUUUUUAAACCAUGUUUUUGAGCUUAAAAAAGAUUAUCACAAGAUGUGAAGUUCCCCCUUUAUUCUCGUGAACUGGGUGAGAGAAGGUGCAGAAGAGCCUGGACAGUGGGGCGUGAGCCCCCGCAGGGCCUGCAGCAGCCGCCCCAUCUCCUUGCCGUGGACUGGGCCCUCCUGAGCUCGGCCUGGAGGGGGUGGGGGCUGGAAUGCACGGGGG
rnacentral:lncRNA from 1 species